CAGCAGUCGCCAAUUCCAACAGGAAAGCGCCUGAAAGCCACUGACUCCGCGUAGCCGGCGGAGGACCACUGUGACGAACUUGUGUCCUGCGUCAACAGUGUGUGGAACGUUGGCGACCUCGGCGCUCGAGCUGCACUCCGCUGGGCUCUUGGCAGCACCCUGUGCUCUGAGGGUGUCUUGCCCGCCGGGCGCCGUGGCUCACGCCUGUAAUCCCAACACUUUGGGAGGCUGAGGCGGGCGGAUCACUUGAGGUCAAGAGUUCAAGACCAGCCUGGCCAACAUGAUUCUACUCUAAAAGUCACCAGGAAAAAUUCAGCUCCACUGGUCCUGGCUCUAAGUCUACUAGCAAAAUCUUCCAGAGAAGUGGAAAAGCCAUCAGCCAAUGUGUUAGACUAUCAUUUCCAUGACCUUACACCUAUCAAAAAGGCACUAUUACCAGGCUUAUAGAAUUCUAAAAAAGUUGGAAACCAUUUUCCAUUAUAAAAGAAAUUCUUCCAAAUCACACAAAACACUCUGACACUUCUCCAAUUCCCCCUAUCAUGGGGCUGGCAGCAGCCGCUUUGCGUCCUGAAUGUCAUGACAGUGAUGAUAACAGUAAUGAUGAUAACAGCAAUGAUGAAGUCUCACAUUUAAAAUUUUCAAGUCACUCAUCACAUCCCAAGUCACUCCCUUCAUUACCUUUUAUUUAUACUGGAGUCAUCCUGUGUGCCUCAGUCAGACCAUUUUGUAUGUACAAUGACCGACAAUGAGAUUUAACAUGCAGUUUGCAGAUCCUCCCUUCUCUGGGUCACCUGAAAAUAAGCCACAAACAAAGGAAUGAAAUUGUUGAUGAAAAGGGAAGAGGCAAGACUCCAUAUGAAGAAUACAACUGACUCACCUGUCUGUACAUGCCUCUGUGUGUGUGUUUUAUAUUGGUGCUGGUGAAGAUAGUUCUUUAUGCUGAUGCUUAAUAAGGUGAAAUGUGUCUAUUUUCUUCCAUUGGCCCAGGCACAGAUGCGAUUAUAAUUGCUAAGAUUAUUUGCAUAUUGGCUUUUAAUGAUGCAUUUAAAAAUAUUCAUCCCAUUUACUGACUUAUGCAGGCAAUGUACUUUUGUAAAUGUGGGCCAGCAUCAUGCUUAAAUUCCCAAACCACUAUUUAUUUAAAACUCAUCACUUCAGUUUUUAUACCCUUUCUCCCCCAUAAGGGAAAAAAUAUGAUUCUGACUGUAUAAGCACCAACUAAACAGAACACAAAACAUGGCAGACGAUAAAAACAUAUUUUCACAAAUGAGACAUGUCAUUUUACCAUCGAGGAGAGAAACAAAAUAAGCUGGUUUUCAAGUUCCAUAUCUUGUGUGCUCCUUUCAGCUAAAUGCCCUUACAUCUGUAAGCCCUUGGGACAGGUUAAGGCUUUUAUUAUUAUUUUAAAGUCUUCAUAACUACAACCUAGCAUCCAAAGUGAAACAGAUGCUAUUGGAUAUGAGUAGCAUAUGCAAUGGAAAUAUUGACAUUGCCUUCCCGACAGUCAUGAGGGAUAGACCAUAGGCUUUUUGGUAACCUAUAUUUUCUAGGCCCAAAGCAGGGAAUGAGAUGGCAGGGAAAUUCAGGGUAAACUCCAAAUUUACAUAAAGUUAUAGAAGAAUAUAGAUCAUGAGUAGUGGCUAGCACCUUCCUGACUUCCAGAAAAUGGUGGUGCCGAUAUUGAACAACAGUUUGGAGAAAAUGUAAAAUGUUUACAUUUACAUUUACAGUUUAGUCUUUGAACAACAGUUUGGAGAAAAUGUAAAAUGAAAAUUUGUUAACGAACUUGUUUUUAAAAAGCACCUAGACUCCAUAUAAGAGUACUUGUCCUAUGUUAUUUUCAUAAACUACAUUUGUGAUUGUUUUGGUGAGUCUUUUACUUUGAAUCCCAUUUGCAUAAAUUUGUUAAUAGGGAGAUCAUAGAAUCACUGAUUAAUUGCAUCAUACAGAGUUGUAUGAUGUGGAUUAGAUUUUGCCUAAUCUAACCUCUCUAUCUUAGAGAUGGAGGGGGGUGGAGUGGGAGUUGGCAACAGGUGGUUACAGAGCCUUCAAAUUCCUUGAUGAGUAGCUCCUGCUGUCUGAAAUCUCCUUCUGGUCAAGGGGACAACUGACAUUCUACUUGGGUGACAGGAUUUCUGAGUUUGAAGCUGAGAAUGAUCCAAUGGAUGCCACUUCAGGGCAAAACGAGUAUCAAUAACCAGGAAGAUAAUAAAACUAAAGAAGCAACCCAAUGGCUUCUUCAGAGGCUGGCCCAGCAUUUUGCCAUGAAGAGAAAGAGGACGCAUUGGAAGGAAGGAUGCAUUUUAACAC
rnacentral:lncRNA from 1 species